GAGAACACUCUGCCCCUACUAAUCUGAAUGCUUCUGCAAUAGACUACACUUAAUUGUCUUUUGCCUCCCAUCAGUUCAGAGCCACAUGUUUAAAUGAAAUGAAAAACUGCUUCAUUUCAAAUUCAAAAACAGUGUAUUUAGCUAAAAGCCAUGCCUAAGGAAGAAAAGUAGGGUAUACAUUUCUGGAUAUGAGAAGGAAUAUUUUAAUCACCUGAUUUAUGGUUCUUUGGCUACAAUCUUUGUUUGUUCUUUCAUUUAGCCUUCAACUUUAUGAAUAGAAGAGGUCAUUUUCUCUUGAAGAGUGUAAAUAAUGUUGUAUACUGAAACUCUGAGAAACACAGAAAAUACCUAAAUUACCUAUGAAACUUUCAUGAACAAGGCAAUU
rnacentral:lncRNA from 1 species